UACGGGGGGGGCAAGCGUUGUUCGGAAUUACUGGGCGUAAAGGGCUCGUAGGCGGCCAACUAAGUCAGACGUGAAAUCCCCAGGCUCAACCUGGGAACUGCGUCUGAUACUGGAUAGCUUGAAUCCGGGAGAGGGAUGCAGAAUUCCAGGUGUAGCGGUGAAAUGCGUAGAUAUCUGGAGGAAUACCGGUGGCGAAGGCGGCAUCCUGGACCGGCAUUGACGCUGAGGAGCGAAAGCUAGGGGAGCAAACGGG
rnacentral:rRNA from 1 species